rnacentral:rRNA from 1 species
CCAGACUCCUACGGGAGGCAGCAGUGGGGAAUAUUGCACAAUGGGGGAAACCCUGAUGCAGCGACGCCGCGUGAGUGAAGAAGUAUUUCGGUAUGUAAAGCUCUAUCAGCAGGGAAGAAAAUGACGGUACCUGAUUAAGAAGCCCCGGCUAACUACGUGCCAGCAGCCGCGGUAAUACGUAGGGGGCAAGCGUUAUCCGGAUUUACUGGGUGUAAAGGGAGCGUAGACGGCAGCGCAAGUCUGAAGUGAAAUGCCGGGCUUAACCCCGGAACUGCUUUGGAAACUGUGCAGCUAGAGUGCAGGAGAGGUAAGUGGAAUUCCUAGUGUAGCGGUGAAAUGCGUAGAUAUUAGGAGGAACACCAGUGGCGAAGGCGGCUUACUGGACUGUAACUGACGUUGAGGCUCGAAAGCGUGGGGAGCAAACAGGAUUAGAUACCCUUGUACGA